GGGUUGUGAGGUUAAGCGACUAAGCGUACACGGUGGAUGCCCUGGCAGUCAGAGGCGAUGAAGGGCGUGCUAAUCUGCGAUAAGCGCCGGUAAGGUGAUAUGAACCGUUAUAACCGGCGAUACCCGAAUGGGGAAACCCAGUGUGAUUCGUCACACUAUCAUUAACUGAAUCCAUAGGUUAAUGA
rnacentral:rRNA from 4 species